UGGGUGGAUUAGUGGCGAACGGGUGAGUAACACGUGAGUAACCUGCCCUUGACUCUGGGAUAAGCCUGGGAAACUGGGUCUAAUACCGGAUAUGACUGCUCCGCGCAUGCGGUGGUGGUGGAAAGCUUUUGCGGUUUUGGAUGGACUCGCGGCCUAUCAGCUUGUUGGUGGGGUAAUGGCCUACCAAGGCGACGACGGGUAGCCGGCCUGAGAGGGUGACCGGCCACACUGGGACUGAGACACGGCCCAGACUCCUACGGGAGGCAGCAGUGGGGAAUAUUGCACAAUGGGCGGAAGCCUGAUGCAGCGACGCCGCGUGAGGGAUGACGGCCUUCGGGUUGUAAACCUCUUUCAGUAGGGAAGAAGCUUUCGGGUGACGGUACCUGCAGAAGAAGCGCCGGCUAACUACGUGCCAGCAGCCGCGGUAAUACGUAGGGCGCAAGCGUUAUCCGGAAUUAUUGGGCGUAAAGAGCUCGUAGGCGGUUUGUCGCGUCUGCUGUGAAAGACCGGGGCUCAACUCCGGUUCUGCAGUGGGUACGGGCAGACUAGAGUGAUGUAGGGGAGACUGGAAUUCCUGGUGUAGCGGUGAAAUGCGCAGAUAUCAGGAGGAACACCGAUGGCGAAGGCAGGUCUCUGGGCAUUAACUGACGCUGAGGAGCGAAAGCAUGGGGAGCGAACAGGAUUAGAUACCCUGGUAGUCCAUGCCGUAAACGUUGGGCACUAGGUGUGGGGGACAUUCCACGUUUUCCGCGCCGUAGCUAACGCAUUAAGUGCCCCGCCUGGGGAGUACGGCCGCAAGGCUAAAACUCAAAGGAAUUGACGGGGGCCCGCACAAGCGGCGGAGCAUGCGGAUUAAUUCGAUGCAACGCGAAGAACCUUACCAAGGCUUGACAUGGACUAGUAAGACG
rnacentral:rRNA from 1 species